GUGAUUUGGCCGAGAGGCCUUUAUCCAAUCCUCACACCUGUGAACUCGUCGGUGGGCCUAGCCUGCCGGACAUACAAACUAUGUGUAAUGAACGUGAUGUAACACAAUAAAACA
rnacentral:misc_RNA from 1 species